rnacentral:lncRNA from 1 species
UCAUGUUUUAAUUUUUUUAUUAGCUAUGUCUGACAGCUAAAUUUUCAUAAUCAGUUGUGUGUACUGUGUACAUUUAUAUAAUAAUUUCCAACACGAUUCUUGUUUAACUUUUAAAAUAAAUGAAAGAACUUUACAAUAUUCUAAAAGAGUUAACCGGAAAAUCGAUCCCUGUCACUGGGCCGGCAAAGUUUCCGGCCGCCAUGACAGAUCCGACGAACCAAAACCUAGAUCUGUAUGAUCAAACAACCCAUCUAACGCCACGUAUUCACCGUUGUUACUAUAAUUACUAACAUUAACAUCGUCAUAACCAAAUUCAUACUCGAAUGAACCAUAGUUUGAGAUCUGAUCAUCUAAACCCCAUAACUCACUGAGUUCAACCGACUCAGCCAAAACUCUCAUCUUUUCCGGUGCGGUUAGAGUUGUAUCCGUAUCCGUUUCGGUCGGUGGAAGACCGAGUUCGUCAUCCGACGCCUCAAAAAGAAACCCAAGCUCCGGCCGGGAUUCGGAAUUUACUCCGGCGCCAAACUCCGGCACCGGAGAAAUCUCAUCUUGAAAGCUCUUCAUGAACGAGUCAAGGUCGUGAUUCACUGUGGACGCAUCUGAAUCGUCCAAAAUGUCGAGGAGGAUUCUUUUGGCCUCGACUGAGUCAAACCCCGACUCGUCUGAGUCAGAACGGACUCGUUUCUUGCAACUCAGAGAUUCCAUUUUAACGAGAGAGAGAGAGAGAGAGAGAGAGAGAGAGAGAGAGAGAGAGAGAGAGAGAGAGAGAGAGAGNNNNNNNNNNNNNNNNNNNNNNNNNNNNNNNNNNNNNNNNNNNNNNNNNNNNUUUAACGAGAGAGAGAGAGAGAGAGAGAGAGAGAGAGAGAGAGAGAGAGAGAGAGAGAGAGAGAGAGAGAGAGAGAGAGAGGUAGGGGUAGUUUCGGGAUAAAGAUUUGUUGAUGAGGGAGACAAAGGAUGUUUGUGAAGUGGCAAAGGAGACGGAAGGGGUUUUAUAGGGAGGGACAAAGUUUGAUUUUAUUUUGAUUUUUUUAUUAUUAUUUUGAUUUUUUUAUUAGUGUCGAUGAUGGGAGGAGAAGGACAGGGGCGCGUGGAGGCAUUUACUUCGAACAUCACGCAUGUCUUAGGCUGUUUUUUUUCUUCUUUAUCAAACUUUUUUCCGCCAAAAUGAUCCUUCUAGUGCAAAUCUUGCUCACACCAAUGGUCAUGAAUAUCCAUUACAAACCAUUUUUGACAUUUUAUAAAACUUUACUUGAGUAAAUUUUACAUAAGAAUCAUUUGUGAAACUUCAUGUAAUAAUCAUUUAUUACUAUUUUUUUUUAUCUUUUUUCAUAUUUUUUAUAUUUUAGUUUUUUACUUUUUGUUUGAUUUAUCAACUAUUACAAAUAUAUUUUAUUUAAUAUAUAAAUACUUUUUGUUGCUAAACUUCAAUAAUUAAAAUACAAUACAUUAUUAAAUAUUUUUGUUUUUAAUUUUUUAUCUAAAAAUAUUAAAAGUAUAAAAACAUCAUUUUAUUUAUUUUUAACUUUUAUGUGAUAUUAUUAUUGAGAUUCAUUUUAUUAUUAGUUAAUAGACGAUUUUUAAUUUUUCUUUGAAAAACUUUUGUAUUUACUAAGAAAUAUAUUCAAAAUAUGAGAAAACUAAAAAAAUUUAUUAAAUUAAAUAUCAAAAGUUUAUAACAAACCAAUAUAAAAUUUACCGUAUGCUAUUUAUAUUAUGGUUUUAUCCAAAGCAAUUAAACAAAUUUAAUUUAAUUUUAUUUGGUUCUAUUUCAGUUAAUAUUUUAAAGCCCAUACAAUUAAUUAUUUGUUGGCCUUUAUUUUUAAUUGAAAAUAACAAGAUACUUAUAUUAUGAAAUCAAAACAGAAACAUAUUUAUACCUUUAAGUCAAAACAAUCUACUUAUAAUUUUAAAACAAAAUAACAAUGAACUAUUAUUUUUUAUAUACAUAUUUGUUUAUAAUAAUGCAUAAUAUUUUCAUAAAAAAGUAUAUUUGUAUAAGAAAAAGUAAAGAUAAAUGUCAAAAAUAAUAUUACGUAAAAAUUAAAAAUAGAUAAAAAUGAUGUUUUUAUAUUUUAAAUAUUUUUAGAUAAAAAAAUUAAUGGUGUAUUGUAAUUUAAAUAAUUUAGAUAAUAUUUAGAUAGCAAAAAUUGUUUAUAUAUUAAUGAAGAUAUAUUUGUAAUACUAAAUCAAAUAAAAAGAAAAAAAAAACUAAAAUAUAUAAAUUGUAAAAAAAUUAAAAAAAAAAAAAAAAAAACAAAUGGUCAUUAGGUGAAGUAUCACAGAUGAUCCUUAGAUAAAGUUUCAUAAAUGGUCGUUCGGUAAUGUUUCAGGAAUGGUCCUUAUGCAAAGUUUCACAAAAUAUUAGAAACAGUUAUAAUCCAAAAUUUUCUCAAUUCAACUAAUCUAUCUAACGGACAUCCACCACAAACACCAUUAGUGUGAAAGGUUUGCUUUUAAAAAAAAGACCUUCCAUGCAAAAGCAAAACAUGUUUUAUAAGGGAUGCUUGUGGACAAAAUCAAAACCAUAAGGACCAUUUGUGAAAUUUUGUCUAAAAAGUAUUAUAUUAUUAGACAACAUUGCAAAAAUGGUCCUUAUGGUAUGCAUUUUUGGGGGUUUUAGUUCAAACCAUGACUUUUUUGGAUUGGUGGUCUUUUUGAGCUAGUUUCGUUGCGUUUUUGGUCCCUCAGAAAACUGAAAAGACUAAAAUGUUCUUCUGAUACAUUUUUUUUUAUGGUUUUUGCUAUUUAAUUAAAAAAUUUAUUAAUAAAAAUUAUGGGGCCCCCCUCUCUCUCUCUCUCUCUCUCCCUCUUUCUCUCUCUCUCUCUCUCUCUCUCUCUCUCUGUCUCCCUCUCUCUUCAAAACACACACUUAACACUAUCAAGAACACAUACGCACAAUCUCAAGAACACCUCCACCUCCAUCUCUACCGUCCAUCGCUGCUCACCGCCGCCACCAUCCAUUGCCAACCACUUCCAUUUCCUCCACCCUAAUCCCACAUAUCUCCUUGGUUGUUGUUCUUCAAAGAAGGGCUACAUAAUCUGUCCAUCUUCAUCUCUCAAGAAACUAGUAAUUGAAACUAAACACCAACACAAUUGUCUCCAAACUCCGACUAAUCCCAUCUCAAAUCCUUUCAUUUGUGCUUCACUGCCUCCCAAAUCUGGCCCAGAAUCCUCGCCGUUGGCACCUCAAUGGUCGUCACCUAUUUGAUGUUUAACAACCGACAGUCUAAGGUUCUUUUUGGAACCGAUAUAGACACUCGUUACACCUACCCUUUGCUUUCUCAAGGUGUUUGCUUCGAGCCUUCAAUCGAUGGAGGAUUCUAUUAAAUGGGUUAUUACAGGUGAAGAAUUUUGAAUGGGAUUGAGUUUUAGUGCUUUAAUUAGAGGUUGUGAGUGGGAUUGAGUUUGAGCCUUCAACAUCGGUGUCUUACUUUAUCGAUCUUAGUUAAUCUUUAUUGUCACCUCCAGAGAACAAUCUUCAAAAUCCAUGACCAAGGUCCACUGAAAAUGAAAUCGAGUUUGUAGAUCUGUAUGUGAAAGAAAUCGAGAGUGGGGGUUGGUUUCUUGCUGCUAUGAAGAUGGUGAUAAUGGUUGUAUUGAGAAGAUGGUGGGUCGAUGUAGUUGUAUGGAGAAGAUGGUGGGUCGAUGUAGGUGGGUUGAUUACCACUGGUCCAGGUCGUAAGGGAGAAACAGGGGAACCCAGAUUGAGUUCAUGUAAUUCGAGUUUGUUGGUAUUACCAACAUCGAAUGUAACUGAUUUUUGGGCUAUAGCGGUUGUUGUAGAUGAUAACUUGGUGGGGUAGAUGUGGAAUUUAGAUUAAGAAGGAAGAGAUGAAGAAGAUGAAGUGUUCAUCUUGGGUAAAAAGAAAAAGGAGAAGGAUAUGGGGGUAUACGGUUGGAGAAAGAGAGAGAGAGAGAGAGAGAGAGAGAGAGAGAAAGAAAGAAAGAAAGAAAGAAAGUUUUAUUUUUUUUUAAUUAGUUAAAUAAAUAAAUAAAUAAAUAUUCAGAUUUAAAAAAAAUGAAAGAAAUGAAAAAUAAAUGAAAAGUAAAUAACCCAAGCGUAUUACAGUCAUUUCACUAUUCACAGGGACCAAAAACGCAAUGAAACUAGCUCAAAAUGACCAUCAAUCCAAAAAAGUCUUGGUUUUGACUAAAACUCUAAAAAAAUGCAUAUCACAUGGACAAUUUUUGCAAUUUNAUACACACAUAUAUAUAUAUAUAUAUAUAUAUAUAUAUAUAUAUAGAGAGAGAGAGAGAGAGUGAGAGAGAGAGAGAGAGAAAGAAUAUAGCUUCAUUUGUAGACAAACAUGUAUUUUGUGAUUAUAUAAACUCAAUAUUAGUCGAUCAUUUUAAAAACUUAAAUGAGGGUAUUAUUGUCGUUUAACAUAUUUUUCGGUUAAUUCUUUUUCAAAUUAAUCUACUAAUUUAGGUAAUCAAUAACUCCUCUCCUUAUAUAUUGCAUUUUCCGAGAGUUUGCUCUCACCAUUGUUGAACACUAUCUGUAACAAUUGGCAUUCAUCUCUAUUUACUACAUGCCACCACCAUCGAGCAUAUGAACUUACACCCGUCGCCCUCUCCUUUCAAGUCCUCAUCGACAACCCCACCAUCGACGUGAAAGAUCUUGUAUGCUCAAUAGUCAUAUUAGAAUUAUAUUGCUAAUUAAUAUAUGAUCUUAAAGGUCAUACUAACAACGACUUGAUAUAAUUAAUUAUUUAUUAGAAAGUAAUUUUAAUAAAUAUUCAUAAACUCUUAUAAUAAAUUGGAAAAAUAUGUAUUUUAUGGAAAUAAUUAUUUUACAAUAACAAGUAACAUAUUUUUUCAUAUCGUAUGAAUUAAUAAGUUAUGCACAACAUUUUGGACUGGUUGAAUCCUUUUGUCUUUUACCUAAAGACAGUUUAUAUUUUAUAAACUUUGAGUUUAUAAAAUUUAAACAUUUCUUCUUUUUUUCUACUGUAUGGCCGAAAGUAUGGAGGAAAAGAAGAGGCAUGGGUUUUCAAUUUGUUUAAUCUAAAGGUCUUAACGGUUAAGGACCUUUAGACUAAGAUUACACUUUAACUAGCAAAAGGCUUUCAUUUUUUGCUUUAUCUUUUGAUUGUAAUUGUCGAGAUCUCUCUAGCUUCUCUCCCUCUCUUCUCUUGUUUUGAAUACUUGAAGAUCUGUUACUUGCAUUUACUCUUUUGGAUCAAAUACCUGGGUAUUUGUUUCCAAGCUUAAGAGCUUACAAAUAACUAGCAUUCUACAUCAAGUUGGUGCAUUCUUGGUGUCUCAAAGGUUCAACUAUCUUCAUCAAAACUCAAGCCUCCCAAGAGGACUCAAGGGACAACAAAGGUUGUUAUCAUAUUUUUCCUUCUAUGGUUGUGUUUUUAUCUUUCCAUUACUUACAAGAUGAUCCUUAGUAUGUUGUAACAAGCUUAUUAUGUUCGAAAUUUUAAGUCUUCCAUUUGCAAUUUUAUGAGUUUUUUAAACUAAUUUUGAAUUAAAACCCAACAAUUGGUAUCAAGAGCCACCUUUCAAGUUUGGUUAGAUUUUAUGAUUUUUGGAAAUCUUAAUUUUUGGAGAAUAUGGAUAACUUGUUUGUGUAUAAAAAUAAGUUCAUACAUAUUUUCUUUGACAACUUCUUGAUGGUUAUUUUAUGUGAUAAAAAUUACAUGCAUUUUUUUCCACUUAAAGUUCUCUUAGAAAAACAAAUGUUGUUUUAUGUUUAUAUGUAUUUUAGAGUACAUAAACAAGCCUUGGACCAUUUGUGUUGUUGUUUGUGUGAUUUGGUUACAAAUGGUUUGUAAUAUUCUUUCAUUUAUAAAGUAUGUAAUAGAAGAAGUUAGGUUUUAUUCUUGUUAUUUUUAUGUAAUAAAUUAGUGUUAGACUAGUUUUAUCUUAUGAAAAAUGUAACAAGAUGAAGAUGGAGACAUUUCUUGAAGAACCAUGAAGACCCACAAUUAUAUGAAGAUUUUAUAAAAGUUUAUAACUUUCAUAAAAAUUUUAUAAAAUUGCAACAAAGUUGGUUGUCAUUACAAAUGGGAGCUUGAAGAUCACAUGAAGAACAAGUUGUAAUAUUUGGCCCCUUAGGUAGGACAUAACACUUUUGUGUUGGCUCACAAAAGUGUUAUAUAGAUUAAGGUUUGUUUAUGUCAAAUGCAUACUUGUGUUGUUUAUUUUUAUGCAAAUAAUUUGUGUGACUGAUAAAUUAGAUUUUCACAAGUUCAAACUAUUUUUUGGACAAAAUAAACAUCACAUGGAGUUUUUUUUUUCAAUUUGAAAAAUGAGAACAUUAGAUGACAAAGUUAUAACUUUCAAAUAAAAACCGGUUUUAUUAAAUCAUUAAUAACGACAAAUUUUGAAAUUGUAAAAUUAUAAGUCUAAAAUGGUGAUUUUAUAACUUAUUCAAACUCCAAUAUAUUAAUAAUAAAAGGAAAUUAAGUGAUAAAUAAGGUUCUAUAUUGUUCAAACUCAAACUUAAUAUUGGAUAUUAUCGUUAAAAUUGAACCGCCUCAAAAUAUAAAAAAACAUGUUUUAUAUUUGAACCUUAAAUGUGAUUUCUUGGAAAAUUGAUACCAUGAUUAAUUGGAUGCAUGCAAUUAUCUUGAUAUAACAUGUUUUAAAAUAGAAUAAUAAAACAUACAAAUACCUUUUCAAAAGGCAAGUCUAUGUCAUCCAAUUUUAGAAACAAUUGCACACUAUUUGUAUAGUGCUUGUGGGAUAAAUGAUACCUAACCACUUGUGUUAUCUUUUGGUGGCCAAAGUAUUUUUGCAAUUUCUAUAACCAAAUUAUAGGGCAAUUAUAUAAGUUUAUCUACUUGGAUGACUUGCUUGGAAACCUCUUGUGAUAAAGUGAAAGAUCUAGUAUACUCAAAAAUCAUAUUAAAAUGAUAUAGCUAAUUAACAUAUGAUCAUAAGGGUCAUACUAACAAUAACUUGUGUAACGCCCUGUUCCAAAUCAUUUCCUAAUGAAGGGUGGUGACCCGAAGACCGAGUAUCAUCAGGCUUAGGGCCUUUGAGGAAAAGAAAUUUAGACUAAUUUGGGUGUAGGUAAUGUAAUUUGGAUGAUCUGGGAGUUCGGUUGUGUUUUGGAACCAAGGGGUAUUUCGGUAAAGUGUCAGCUUGGGCUUUUAUGAAAAUUGGAUUUUUGUUCAGGAAAUUUUAAGUUAAUCAUGAGUUGAUAGAAGUGUAUAGAUUCUCGUUACCUCUUCGUGGAUAUAAGAAUCGUCGAAAACGGACUUAUAAUGAAGAAGUUAUGGCCUUCGGAAGAUUUGAGGUUUUAGGGUUAAAUCGAGUAUGCGGGGCGUACACAAGUGUACACAUGGCGUACUAGUGAUGCGUAAAAUAAUUAUACACUAGUUUAUCCUACUAAUGAAACUAAUUAUUACCUAAGGCAGUGUACCUUGUUGAAAAUAAUAUAGCUCAAUAGACAGGUAUUGAACACAGAGAACAGAUUUAAUUAACUAUUUAAUGACCCCAAGCAAAACUACAAUAAAAUACUUUUAAUUAUAAUAAAAAUUAUCAUAAAAAAUAUAAAACUUUCAUAGUCAACAAAUAAUACAUGUUCCACCCAUCCAAGUUCUCGGCAAAAAAAAAAAAAAAAAAAAAAAAAAAAAAACAGUCUUGUGGCACACGAUCAUUUGCUUCUUUUCCCAAAAAGCCUUCACACAGAACGUAUAUGAGACAUGCUCUAACUGUAUCAUCGUCGGUAACUGCUAAGAAGUGCUGAUUUAAAAUAUAACUUUUACAAUCACAGAUUUUCACUGAACUAUUUGUGUGGUUCAGAAAAAGACGUUCCUGCAAUAAACAUCUUUUUUGACUACUAAUUUUUUUUUUCUUACACUUCUUUUUCCAAUCAUUUUUGGAUAAACUCCAAAUUCAACCCGAUUAUCAAACAAAACUUUUCCGGACCAUAAACCAUUUUAGUAACCCCCAAUUUAAAAUACAACCGCUUUAUGUCAUCUAUGGAUACUACUGCAUCCGACAGUAAUAGAUGAAGAAACAUUUUAUAAAACAACAACCCGUCCCCUUGUAAUUGAGGGACGUCCAGCAAGUAACCAAACACAGUGUUUCUAAAACCUUCCUGUUACACACCAUGCAAUACUUCAAAUAUUUUCCAUAUAUUACAUGCCGAUCAUUUUAUGUUAACAACUUUAACAUUUAGAUUUCUAUAAUUAUGCUGCAAUACAACUUGUUAGAAAACAUAUGAUUGUAACAAAAACUCAAUAGCUUAUAAACUAUUAUAUUUAAAAAAAAAAUCGACGAUUUAAAUCACAAAAUAAACCAAUAUCUAUUUAUAACCAGGAUAAUUAAUCUAAUUAUAUAUAAAAGAUAUUUCUAUUUAUAAACAUUUUUAUAACAAUACCAAUUAAAUAAAUAUUUUUUUAUAAACUAUAUGUAUAAUAUCAAUAUGCAAAUGUACAACAUCAUGUAGCAAUAAUCAUUAUUAUAUGAAAAAGUCAUAUUAUUAAACAUAUUAACAAAAUGGUACAACCUCACAAUGUACAAUUUACUUAUUAUACAUUUGUACAAUCAUACAUCUACUUAUUAAAUACCAUCAAAACUCAAAUCUACUAAUAAAAUCUACUAACUAUCAAAUAUAACAUAUCGAUCUAAAAAACUGAAUAAUAAAACACAACAAAGUUUUGUUUUGGUUUUUUUUCAAGUUUUUCGGAAUAAAUCGUAAAUAAACAAGCCCUAAUGUUGAUAAAUGAUGAUUAAAACAUAAAAAAGUAAAGAUCUUGCCAUAUUAUUGAAGUUGUUCAUGAAAUCGUCCAUAAUUGCAGGUGGUCUAAGAAAAUCCCUUCCUAGAGAGAGUUUUCAACAAAAAAGACAAAAAAUGAAGCAAAAAAAAUUGUUUUUAUACUUGGCAUUCUCGAAAAUCGCAGAUGGGUAAUUAUAUUCGCAAAUAGACUAGUUCAUUUACGAAUGUACAAAUCGCUAAAGCACAGUUGUUCUUUAACAACUUGUACGUUUGCAGAUGGCUUGCAAAAAUCGCAGACGUGCUUAAUCCAUCUGCGAUUUUAAUGGCUAAAAAUGUAAUUUUGUUUUUUUAGCUAGUUUCCACAAAGUAGUUAAGAUAUUCGUCUAAAUUUACAAUUUUCUCAAAAAAAAAAAUCAAUAAAGAUGAUGUAUUAAAUUAAGUUGGAGUGGAAAUUUUCUCACAUAGGUGAUAUAUUUAAAACAAACUAAAAAAAAAUGCUACGCUUUGCUUGCAAAUAUUUUAACCCGUAAUUAACUUAUAGUAUCACCUUCAAAAAAUAAUAGUCUUGAUAUCGAUUUGUUUAAAUUAUUUUGGAUGCGCUUUUUGGAAUAAUAAAUAAAUUUACAUUGGGUUUUUUUAGUGAUGAUACUACAUGUGUGUUCGGCAAAACUAGCUGGUAGCGGGUAGGUUGGAGCUUGUAGCGUUUUGUUAAACGCUACGUUAAGUAGCUUUUGGAUUUGGAGGGUUUUGUUUAAACUAAACGCUAGAAGCUUGUAUUGCCAAACAAAAGUUUUCUAUUCCAAAAUAGAGCGUUUUGUCAAACGCUAGAAAUUAAAAGUUUUCAAACGUUACAGGCCAAACACGCCUUACGUUAUAUCGAUAAAAAAAUAGCUUUACUUUUCUACCGUUAGGAACUUACUCCCUUCCUAGUAUAACAAUCUUGCAACUAAUAGGGUAACAAACUUUUAUUAUUAUUAUUAUUGCAACUAAUAGGGUAACAAACUUUUUAUUAUUAUUAUUAUUAUUAUUAUUAUUAUUAUUAUUUAUGUACUUUAUUUAUUUAUGUAAUCAUGUUUUUUCCUUUUAUGUUUGACAUGUUUAAAAUAUGGUAAUAUUACUGAUAAUUACCAGUGAUAUUACCCUAUUAUAAAAUAUCAAACAAUGUUACUGGUCAAAAAAGAUGGUUUACUAAAAUGUAGACAAAAAAACAAAUUUCAGCACCCAUUUUGGUAAUAUUUUAGUUCUUUAUGCUAAGUGCAAACAUUCAUAAUUCCCUCUUAUGUGACAUGGUAUCGGGUCAUCCGGUCUUGGUUGUGCUACCAUAUAAUGUUGUUUGGUGGUGCUAUAUCAUGCGAUACUAUCAAGUCGUGCUGCCAAGUGGUGUUUCUAAGCAGUGUUGUCUUAUUAUUUGGUUCAUGUCAAUGGAUUUAACAUCAUCACCCACAGAAAUACACUAACAACGUAAUACAUAAAGUACACAUACCUCUGAAGCGCACUUAUUCAAUAAUAUUCCUUUGCAUUACGAAGCUAUGAUUUCGCCCAUUUGAUUAUAAUUCGUACAACCAAAAUACGUAAAAGUAACAUGGCUCACGGUAUCCUCAGCUAAGGGCGAAUCCAUUAUUCGUCUCGUCAAAUUUCUUUAGUUUUUUUUUCUUUUCAGACUUCNNNNNNNNNNNNNNNNNNNNNNNNNNNNNNNNNNNNNGGGGGAUAUGUCGAGUCUAGACCAGGUCACUUGGAAGAGUAUUGUCAAAUAAAUAGUUAGUUACUUAAACGCAUGGUUGCACCGCCCGACAAUAUUGUUUGGCAGCACAAACAUGAUCCGUUGGCCUGAUUCCAUGUCACCCCUGUAGGUCUUAUGACUACUUGCAUUUUGCAUAAAAACCCAAUAUUAUCAAAAUUGGUAACGAACUUUGGUUUUUGUUCACAUUUACCUAACUAUGUUUUUUUAUACACGUUUGACCAAUAAACUUAUUUAACAUGUUCAUAAUAAAGUAAUAUUACCGAUAGUUAUGAGUUUAUUGGUCAAAGUGUCAAACGUAAACGAAAACACAUGAUUAUCAAAAUAUAGACAAAAACAAAAAUUCGUUAACUUCUUAGGUCAUCAAACCUAAUUUUUAAGGUCCAAAACUUUGCUGCAUCAUAUUGUAUUUUUUUUUGAAUUGCCAACACUGAAAAACCGUUCAAGGUACAUCAUCUAGGAAUAAAUCAUUUUAGUAUUCUUAAUAUUUAGACGUGUCACAUUUUAAUAUUGAAUUUUUGUAUAUAUAUCUCAACAACUAGAUUUUUAUCAUGAAUAUGAAUCUUUAAUUGUUCAUAGAUUGGUUCUAUCUAACGUAUUAAACUUUUUAUUUUAUUAUUUUCCCUUCCUAACACCCUUUUUUCAGUUAUUCCAUGUGUUUGUUUUAUAUUUUAUUGUUGGUAUUUGUUUGAUAAUGUUAUGCAUGCAACCACUUUUUUUAAUGUAGAUGAUGUUUUAUGCAAUUGCCAUAAUUAUGAUAAACGUCCACGAUUAAUUUGCUUUGUUAAACCACACAUCACUGUCAAAUUUCUCAGUUUUAAUCUUUCAAUCAAGUUAUUAUUUUUCUCAAUUGACUUUAAUUUCACCAAGAACAUUAAAUUCUUUUUUUUUUUUUUUGCCUUGCCUUUGUUUACGAUUUCAAUUUUAUUACUGGAAAUUCAAUCUGGUUUUGGUCUUAUUGAUUAGGAUUAUUUAAGGUUUAUUUGAAAUUCAAUUUGUUUCGUUAAAUUUCUGUAUUACCGAAUUACUUCAUUUAGAAGGAACUCAAUGUUAAUAAGUGAUGUUUAGAUGAAAAUUGGGUUAUGGAUUUUGGCAAAUAAUAGCUUGUAUUAGACAAAACGACAAAAUUGGUCAAUAUCGUUUGUAAAAAACUGUGGAUAUUAUUCAAAAAGUUUUCAACUUGUUUGAAGGUCCAAAAUUAAAAAUUUUCCAUGGUUUUUUGAUCAAUUUUCGUCCGUGAUAAAUUUGAAAUGACAAUUUUACCUUUUAAAUUCUUUUUUGUAUUAUUUUUUCAUAUUAUCCUAAAUACUUUAUUAAAACAAAAUUAAAAAAGAAAAGCAUCGGGCAUAUCCACCCCAUCCCACCGAUGACCUCACCUUCUCUCUCUCUCUCUCUCUCUCUCUCUCUCUCUCUCUCUCUCUCCACCUUGUUCAUCCUCCCAUCUUGUUUGAUCAUUCAAAUCUCAAAACUCUAAGUCGGUACCGAAUCCUCCAUCACUAGCACCGACUCACCCCUACUCUCCUUAAGACAUCAACUCCAUAUUCUUUUAUUCUCUCUCGCUCAUCGUCGCCAAGCACAAAUAUGUUAAUUGGAGGCUAAAAAUCCACUUUAGAACCUCAACUACAACCAUGGAACCUUAGUAAGAAUCACUUCUCAUCAAGAACAAACAAUAUGCUAAAGAGAAAUAGAAUAAAUUUGGCAAAAAUGCAAGAAUCACAUCUCAUCGGAGCAGUGGCGCGAUGGAACCUCAUCCCCCACUUCAUCUUCUCCGGUCAUCGCUAUGCAGUUCAUGUUCAUUAGUUUGGGUGGGUGUAGAUUUUUUGGGUUCCAUUCAUUAUCUCAAAGAUUUUUUGGUCAUUUAUUUUUUCAAUUUGGGGUUUUUAUCAUGUGAAAUUAGGGAAGAAAGGGGAUGGCGUGGACUAGAUUUUUUGAUGGUGGAUGGAACUAUCGACGAGGUCAUGUGAGUUAGUGGAAGUCCUCAAAGCUACAUGAAUGUCUGAUGGAAACACUUGGCAUGGAACCUGGUUCCGACAGUCAAAUAUAUAGAUUUUCUUAGAUUUUUUCAUUUUUUUUUAUAAAUUUGAGAAAGGAAUUUGUAGGUGGGUGGAUCAAAGUUUUGAGAAGUAUAUAGUGCGGUUUUUUAGUUUUGGUUUUCGUUUGUUGAAGUAAUUAGUGCAAUGGUAGGUUAAAUGUUUAAGGGUUUGGUUUGCAUGAUCGAAUUUAAUUCGAGACAGAAGAGAAAAGGAAUUGCAGAGAAUAUGAAGUAUUAAAGAUUGAAGGUUUAUGGUCUCAUGAGAAGUGCAGGAAGAUUCAUUAUAUCGUCUGCUUUCAAAACAUUUGUAUGUGUGCGUGUGAGAGAGCGAGAUAGAUAGAUAGAUAGAUAGAUAUAGAGAGAGUAGCGGGCCCAUUAUUUUCUUUUGUAUUUUUUAUAAAUGAAAGACUAAAAUAAAUAUGAAAAAUACUAAAAAGAAAUUAAAAGGGCAUAAUCAUGCUUUCAACUUGUUUUGGACCAAAACUACGAAAAUUUUUGAUUUUGGACUGUAACAACCGUUUUCCAUAUUGGAUCAUUGUUGAUCAUAAAGGAGUCAAAAGAAUGAUUUUUGGGAAAAAUCAUGUGUCACGACGUGACCAUAGUUUAGGUCAUGACGUGACAAGCUAAAUGGAAGAACACGUAUCUGGAGGAUUUGCCAUGACGUGACAUGUAUUUGGUCAUUACGUGACAAGGGCUGCAAUCCACGCCCACAAUAUUUUAGGGUUUCCUUCGUAUUUCAACACCCUAAACUAAGAUUUAGGGUUCAGUUCUCAGCCUCCAUCUCCUUGAAAACUCAGAAACCCUAAACCUAGUCCAUCUUGGUGGCUUUGGCUUAAUUUGGCUCAUUUUGGGUGGUUUUAGAUCUUUGUUGAAGAAGAAGGUCCCUUUGGUGCAUUGUUUCAACAAUCAAGCCUCCUCCUUACGAUCUUGUGUUGUUUAUGGACCUUUGUAAGUCCUCAAGUUCAUGCCUUUCUCAUGUAAGCUUGCUAGAUCUAAGUUUUAACUACUUUUCUCCAUGUACGAGUUGAGUUGAAUGCAUGGAAUCCAUAAAGUUAGCAAUUUUAUGGAUCUUUGAGGUCAUUUGAUAUGCAUAAGUCUUAGAUCUGAAGUUUGAUGGUGGAUUGGAAUCCAUGCAUGAGUCAUGGUCUCAUUUCCUUUUAUUUUGACCUAGUUAGUGUUGAAGUCACGCAUUGGACAUGCAUGACUAAAAAGGUAUGAUUUUUAUGGUCGUUUGGGUUGGGGAAAGCCUUUUGGAAGGUUUGAAGGUUUGGCUUAAAGGGAUAAGAGCUUAAUACUUUAAGUUGUCCAAAUAGGGUCUCACGAUGUGACAUGAUAUGUCGUGACAAUGAGUGAUAUCGCGACUAUUUUGUCCGAACUAUGUCACGACAUGACUAAUGGAUGGUUACGACACGACAAUCAACUGGGGAUGACUUUGACCUUUGAAUUUUGACCAUGGUUAACUUUUGGUCAAAAUAGGGCGUUAGGGUGUAGACUAAGAGGGUACUUUUUUAUUGUUGUUAGGUGUCUCGUUGUACAUGUCUACCCGGUGUGUGAGCGAUUGUGUGUUACCUGCUAUUCACGAGGUGAGGGUUCUCACUAUACUUUCUUGUGUGGUAGUAUAUGUUGACCAUUUGGGUCUUAUUUGUUGAUUACUACUUUAUGUGAAAUGAGUUGUUGAUAACUCCAGGACUGCUGUGAGUCUAUGGAACUACUGAUAGCCCCCAGGGUUGCUAAUAACCCGUGAGGUGUGUUGUUAAUCCAUAGGGCUUGUUGUUAGCCCAUUGGGACCGUAGAUAGUCCCUAGGGUUGAUGUUAACCCAUACUUGAUUAUAUUAAGCUGUAUGUGACAUUCAAGACUGCUAAUAGUUCUAGGGUUGCAGAUAAAACAUAGUUAAUUAUUAUGUUGUGAUGUAUGAGAUAUUUUAAGGGACUCACUCAACUUUGUGCUUACCUAUAUGGACUAAAUAUUUUGCAGGUACUUAUAAGAUUGUUAAGGCGGGACUAUACACACACAUCAACAGAUUUAUGAAGUAUUGUCUGCUUUAACACCGAUUCCUGAAUAAUGGUUUAUGAACAAAUGGUUUGACUUGAAUGUAAUUUUAUUAAAAUAAAAGUUUAAAUUACUCUAAAAAUGAAAAUUUUAGUCUUGGAUUUUUGGAUGAUACAAUUUGGUAUUAGAGACCUGGUUUGAGGGAUUUGGAUAAACACUCGUGGGAUUCCAAACUUAAACUAUGGAUCUGAGAGUCUUUCUAAGCCUUUUUGGAAACAAUUCAUUUCAAGAGAAGAAAAGAGAAGAUGCAAUGUGUAUAGUUAUUUGGAGCAUGAAAAAGUGAUUUCCUAAAAUAUCCAUACUUACUUUAUAUGUUGUAUUUGAGUUGCUAUUAUAUGUGUUAUAGUAUGAUGUGCAUGCUCUAAGUUAGGCUAAGUAUCUACUCAGGGUAUCAUGCUAGAAUGCCUGUUUAGGAGUGAUACCUUUUGUAUGUGAUAUAUGGACAAUUAUAGAUGCAUGGUAGUGUGUACACUAAGGAUUCUCUAGAAUUACAUGUUAGAAUUGUCUGAUCCUUAUGAUACCUUUUUCCUAUUGGUUUUGCUGCUCGAAUGCUGCUUGCUUUGUGUUAGGUGAAACUUAUAUUGAUGUAAGUUUACUAUUAAGAGAAUACGGUAAGUUACAUGCCACAACGAUUAAUUAGUUUUAGAAUGCUAGAUUUGGCCCUAUUGUGCAUCUCUUGUUUGAGUCCAACCAUUGUAGUGCAUGAUCUUUCUGUCGAAGGACUCUUUUAAUCCUUGAUGCAUGUAUUUGUAUUCAUAAGAUAGUUAGUUGGAAUUGGUAAAUGUUUCUUUCGCGGUUGUUAGCAGGCUGGGGGCGAGUAUUCCUAAUGACAUUGGAGGAGUGCUAUAGUGUGUUUGUGUGAGCACUAAUGUAUAAGGAAGUCUAGUGUGGGAAUCUAGGUAGAGUAUGGUGGCUUUUCUAAGCAUAUGGGUAUCUUGAUACAUCUGGCAGUGGUGGAGUUACUAGAAAAGUGUUCGAGGGCAUGCUCAUGAGUGAGUAGAGGCCUAGAAGGAGAGUCUAGGAAGAGUAGUAGUGUGUGCUUGUGGUGACACGAUUACCUGUGGUUAAUAGUGGUCACGUGUAGUGACUUAGGGGCCUUGAGACAAUUCUUGGGAUGCAAACGGAUAUGUGUGGAAGGUAGUAAGUGAUGGGAUUUAUAGGUAACAAAAAUCAUAUUUUUGGCGGAAAAACCUAAAACCUUAAGUUCACAUACACCCUAAAACAUCUAUGUUCUCGCUAUGAUAUGCAAACAACAAUUUGAAUUUAGAACCCUAAAGUACAUUUCUAUUUUCGAUUUAGUAGAAGAGAUAAUAGAAAACAUACCUAUUAGUGUAACAUUUCAAAAUUAAAGACCAAAAAUUUCGUUUUGAUUAAUCAAAAACCGCUUAAUAAAUUUUGCUCAUGCAUUUAACAACAUUCUUAAUAUAACAUUUAUCAGAGUUUUAAAUCCCAAAGAUCAUCUAGUGCGGAAAACAUGGUGUGAUGCGCUGCGAUCACCUCGAGCUCCUUCCUUAGAAAAACAUUAGUACCGGAAACAAAUAGCUGAAAACCGUAAGCACGAAGCUUAGUGAGUUCCCCAGAUACCACAUACCAUACAUAUCAAUUGAUCCAUACAUGCCAUACAUAACUAUGAGCCAUACAUAACAAACGUAUCCAUAAUCAAGUAAGGUGCUAUGUGCUAAACAUAGUCUUGCCAAGGUGCUAUGUGCCAAGCAUAGUCUUGCUGUUAUGUCACGGGCCGCACGUGGUCUUCCUGGUCAAGCCUGGGGCCACUCCCUGGGUCUUAUAGACAAGUACCGAGGGCCAACCACUGGUCUUCCAUGCAAGCAUCACAAAGACAGCUAUACAUACUACUCUACAAGGCUACUCAGCAUAUAGUGUGUCAGGAGCCACCUCUUGGUCUUUCAUACAUAAUAGCAUACAGUGCGCCAGGAGCCACCUCCUGGUCAUUCAUACAUGUUGCCUAGGGCUAACCCUCGGGUCUUCUUACCAGACAUAAUAACAUACUGUGGGCCAGUAGCCGCCUCCUGGUAUUUUAUACAUAAUGCCUAGGGCUAACCCCUAGGUCUUCCUAUCAUACAUAAACUAGAUGGGACGACAUUAUGGCCGUAGACCCAUACAUACAGUGAGGAGACUCACCUCACACUACCGAAGAUUCACUGAACACUUCUGAAUGCUAACCGGCACUUCUGAACUACUAACCCUUCGGCUUCCAGAACUAUCAAUACCCAUAACAACAUUUAGACCAAAAUAAUCCAAAAGCCAACCCUGGUCAAACUUGGUCAAAGUCAACAUCCAGUUGACCUGACUCGCCGAGUUGGUCUACCAACUCGUCGAGUCCAUACUCCUCUGACCCCAUACAACCCUGAAUCCACUCGUCGAGUCUAGCAGUAACUCAACGGGUUCUCCUUCAACCACAUAAUCGGGACCAACUUCAUCCGACUCACCGAGUUCAUCCUUGAACUUGUUGAGUUCAUCAUCCACAUAUGAAUGUGUCUAGUCUAUGACCUGCCGAGUUGGAUGAACAACUCGUCGAGUCCAUCUUCAUAACUAAGGAGAUUGCCUUAGACUCGUCGAGUUCUUCCUUGAACUUGUGUAGUACGAUGAACUUCAUGACCAUUAUGGACUCAUACUGGCUGAGCCCCUUUCCAAUCUCAACUCAUACCCUUAAUAGAAGGGUUUUUGGGGUAAGAACUGGUCUGACUCGCCGAGUCCCACAACUAACUCAUCGAGUCUCUCUAUUUCCAACACUAUUCAGACGAUUUCCAACUAGCUUAAGGCAUCCAAGACCCAGAUCUGGCCUCCUAGGGUCGUGAUAUCACACAAAGCCACUACCUUUGCACCCAUGCACGACCCUUUUUGCUCAAAAGGCCAAAACAACUCCUUAAACUUUGCAUGGAGAGGUAUAAUGGCAUAAAGCUUCCACCUUUAUGCCUCUACUACUCUGAACACCUCUAAAUCUGGAAGGAUCUAGCUUGGGGACGUCCAAAUCCCACAAGACAUCCUUCUUGGACCAUAAACUCCAUAAAAGUGACAUAAAGAGAUCUAUCAAACUAGAAGUCAACGUGAGAACUUGAUUACCAGAAAAUGAAGAUGAUGAAUCAAACUUCCUGGAUCUACAACCCUUUCCUUGGACCUUCAAUCUCCUUCUUCUUCUUCUAGACUUCAAGAACACUCUAAAUCCUUCAAUAAGGCUCACACACUCAAAGAGAACACUAGGGUUUCGUGGGAUAAGUUCUGGACAAUGGAGGCUAAAAAUGAGGCUGAUAGAAUGAGAAUAAGAUGCUUAAAUAGGGAACCAACUCCCGAUUUAGGGUUUUCAUAAAACCUGGCCAACUCGCCGAGUCAGUCCCAUGACUUUUCGAGUAGGUCACUUAUCCCGCAACCAAAUUCGCGCUCCUACUCGUCGAGUCACCCAUCUACUCGACGAGUCACUUCCUCAUCUUGAGUUUUUCUUUCCUUUCUAGGUCUUUUGAAUUCAGGGUGUUACAACUCUCCCCUACUUAAACUAGACUUCGUCCUCGAAGUCCCCCGUGGUCAACUACCUUACCAUCUGGUUACCACUUUACCACUAGCUACACACUCCACCCAUCCGAUCCAAACCUGGAAGAUGUCAUCUUUAGAAUAACCCGAUCAUUACUACCUUCGAGUACAACACUUUUACCCAACCAGUAACCUUACUGAUACUCUUGUUACACUUACACUUGAUAUACAAGGGGUUUGCCCUCUUACCUUGCACUAUCACUGGCCUUUCCAAGGCACUUUCCACAAGCAACAAAACUUCCCAAUCUUCUUUAAGGACCAAUCCUUUGCUGAAACCGCAAUCCCGGCCACUCCCAGUGCCGACCAUCAUACCAAUACUCACGGAAUAAACCCAAAUACAAUGCUCCAAUACUGAAAACUCCACCCAGCGUGAGAAUUCAGACAAUCCUUCGAGCAACAUAUCCCUCUAUGCUACGUUUAAGGCUCAGACGAGGACAACAUUACCGAGCCAAAUCAUUUACUCUGAGAUCAUUUGAUUCCACGGUGAGCAACUCAACACCACCCGAUCAGCUCACGGCUUCUUACACCAAAUUCCUUACCAUCGUUCCUGCCUGAAGUCCCGUUGACUCCCAUAUGCCUACCGGAUAGAUCGCCCUGGUCCCAACUGAUCUACCAUUACCCGAAAUACCGGUCCCCCACUGGUUACCAAACGCAAGAGCAUUCCCUCAGUCGCUCUCGACGACUUAAGAAGAUACAUUGACUACCUGAAUUGCUCUAGCAACCCAGCCACCCUGGCUCUAAAAGAUCUAGGAUCCCCGAUCCCCUACCUUACCCUAAGGUCUCUACCAGGUCUCACCUGUUGGUAAAAUUACUCGGGCCUCACCCACGGGUCUCACCCAUCUAUACUUUGGUGCGGGCUCUCCCACAGGUCUCACCUAUCCAGGGCUAUGCAGACCCACUCCGCCUCUAUCNAUACGGGCCCCUGCCCACACUCUGCUAACUAGGAGAUACGGGCCCCUUCCCAGACUCCGCUAAGUAGGAUAUACGGGCCCCCGCCCACACUCCGCGAACUAAGCUGCUAAUGAAUGCUACAGCUUACCCGUAGUAUUACAUCACUCCUAGUCUCCAAUGACCUACCGCUUUCCGAAUCCAAUCAUAUUGUGGCCCACUCACAUCCGGGCGGCUACCUCGCCCUAUUUUAAACUAUCUAAAAGACCCUGCCACCGAAUCACACAUUUGAUACACUCGUACUGUCGAAUAGGGACUGACGAAUGCUACGGGCCACCCCAUAGUCUUACUAUACUCCUUCUGCCAACUAGUGAAUGCUACGGGCCACCCCCAUAGUUAUACAACACUGCUGCGCUACCAGCCAAUUAACGCUACGGGCUGCCCCGCAGUCUCACCACACUUCUACGCUAUCUGCCGACUAAUGCUACGAGCCACCCCGAAGUCUUACUAUAGUAAUGCUACGGGCCAUACCACAGUCUAAAUAUACUCAUAUACGAUUGCUAUGGGCCACACCGCAGUCUUACUAUACUAAUGCUACGGGCCAUACCACAGUCUAACUAUACUCAUAUACGAUUGCUACGGGCCACACCGUAGUCUUACCACACUUCUCUUACUAUCUGACCACUGGUGAAUGCUACGGCUAACCCAUAGUCGAGCAUACAAGUACAAUCUAUUACCCCCAAGUUGUACUCAUGUCCUAACUGAAACUCCCAACCGAUUAUUCUGCAAUUUGCUAUCAGACAUCCCAAGAUUGCGAUCUCACAAUUGGCAAGUUUUCCAAACUUCCAAUUCACACUAUCCUCAAUUCAUACAGCUGUCUGGGUCGUCUUUCUCCCUGACAAGAGAGCAAAACUUAUCCCAGUUUCAAAACCGCUUCUGCUCCCAUAACAUGAUUGUUUCUCCGCCACUUAGCUUUGACUAAGUCUUUACAGCACGCGAAAAUCCGUGGAUUUCCAUUCCUUCCUCCCUUACCCAAAAAGGCAUGAUAACUACCAUCGCCUUAAUGUUACUAGCGAUCCGUCACUAUCCCACUCCAAAUACCGUAUGAUUACCGAAUACUGGAUGAACACUUCCUGCAUCCCCGAUACUGAUAAUCCCCUAAGCUCAGACUGACGUCCUUAAGGUCUGAAUAACUAAUGCUUAGAGCAACCUCUUCAGUGAUAGACCACUUCCCUUGAUGCUUCCCAAAAGCUAUCCCAACCACCAAGACUAGAACCACCGAACCGUGAUGAUGGUGGAUGACUACUCCCUGGACCCUUACCACCGACCUCCACGUAACGCUCCUAAACCGUUUUCGGUCGUAACCGAGAUAAUACCGGACACUUCAAACCCGAAGUGAGAGAUGACCUUACACUAGCUACUAAUAGCUCCCGAUAUGCAAUUGGCAUAUGAUAAUUCUGAAAAUACAAUCUGAAUACAAGCAGAGAGACAACUCAUACAUACUAUCACCUGAGUCCGAGGGAAGAACAAUCCUAAUACAUAUAGAAUCGAAAAUAGCCAUUGAUACAUACCUGUAACAUUCCCUGCUGUAAUCCAGAUCUCCCUCAUC